GUAAAAAGCGAGGACGUGACCGUUUUGGAAGCAUUGUUCUUUUCACUGUUAGUGAGGAGCGGUCAAGGAUGCGUAUUAAGAAAUUACUCUUAGAAGAAAGGAAGCAUUGAGAGUAAGGAACAAAUGCCAAUGAUGACAACCCAAACACUAUGCCUCAUCGGAGCACAAAGUUCCAAGUGACUUCAAAGGGUUUUCUGUACUUGGAGCAGCUCUAUGGGACAUGGAAGAUGAGAAAUGAACCGACACCAGAGGUGCAAUGAAAGGUAAAACUCAUAGCAUCACCACAGCUCUUAGGGCUGGUGAAUUACCAGAUCUCCGUCAAGUGCAGUAACCAGUUCAAGUUGGAAGUGUGUCUUUUGAAUGCAGAAAACAAGGUCGUGGACAACCAGGCUGGGACCCAGGGCCAGCUGAAGGUGCUGGGUGCCAACCUCUGGUGGCCGUACCUGAUGCACGAACACCCCGCCUACCUGUACUCGUGGGAGGUGUGGCUGACUGCACAGAAGUCACUGGGGCCUUUGACUUCUACACACUCCCUGUGGGGCUCCGCACUGUGGCCGUCACCGAGAGCCAGUUCCUCAUCAGCGGGAAACCUUUCUAUUUCCACGGCGUCAACAAGCAUGAGGAUGCGGACAUCCAAGGGAAGGGCUUCGACUGUCCGCUGCUGGUGAAGGACUUCAACCUGCUUUGCUGGCUUGGCGCCAACACCUUCUGCCCCAGCCACUAUCCCUACACGGAGGAGAUGCUGCAGAUAUGUUACCGAGUCAGGGUCUCACUCUGUUGCCCAGGCUGGAGGGCAGUGGUGCAAUCACAGCUCGUUGCCAUCUCGACCUCCUGGGCUUAAGCGAUCCUCCCCACUCAGCCUCCCAAAUAGCUGGGACCACAGACGUGCGCUGCCUUUCCAGGGUAAAUUUUAAUAUUUUUUUCCCCACGAGUCAGAGUCUUGCUCUGUUGCCCAGGCUGGAGAGCAGUGUUGCGAUCUUGGCUCACUGCAUCCUCUACCUCCUGGGUUCAAACAGUUCUCCUGCCUCACCCUCCCGAGUAGCUGGGAUUACAGGCUCAUGCCACCAUGCCCAGAUAGUUUUCUUCUUUAUUUUUUGUUGAGAUGGGGUUUCACCACGGCCAGGCUGGUCUCGAACUCUUGACGUCGUGAUCCACCUGCCUCGGCCUCGCAAAGUGCUCACAGGCUUGAGCCACCAUGCCCAGCCCUAAUUUUUAAAUUUGUUGUAGAAACUAGGUCUUGCUAUGUUGCCCAGGCUGGUCUCAAGCGCCUGGUCUCAAGCCUCCCAAAGUGGUGGGGUUCUAGGCGUGAGCCACCUCGCCUGGCACUUGCACUGUUUUCCUGUGCAUGCAUCUCUACUCCCACUGCCCAGGACCUGUGGACUUAGAUUUGAGUCAUUACUGAGCACCUAGCACCCAGCCCCGUGCCUACUUCCCACCUCGCACUACCUGUUUGCUUGAUGCAUUGAUAAAUAUUCCACCUGAAUCCACAGCCCAUUCACUCCUGUGUUCAAGAGCUAUUUCAGGAAGUGAACCUCAUUUUCGGCAGUGUUCAGUCCAGUGACCUCAGCUGUGUGUACCUGGCAGGGUGGCUACGCCUCUGGGGGAAUUGGAUUCAGAGGUGGGGGAGAAAGAGUGUUGUUAGAGAGCUCGGUCUAGGACUAGAGGAACGUGCCCUUAUGUAAAACACAUCUCAAGUUAGGGAAGAAAGCAGCGGCUCUGUGCUUUGUGUUUUUUUUUUCUUUUCUUUCUUUCUUUUUUGUUUGUUUGUUUGUUUGUUUGUUUUGAGGCAGGGUCUUGCUCUGUGGCCCAGGCUGGAGUGCAGUAGCCUGAUUUCGGCUCACUGCAACCUUCACCUCCCGGGUUCAAGCAAUUCUUGUGCCUCAGCCUCCCGAGUAGCUGGAGUUACAGAUGCGUGCCACUAUGCCUGGCUAAU
rnacentral:lncRNA from 1 species